UACGAAGGGGGCUAGCGUUGCUCGGAAUCACUGGGCGUAAAGGGUGCGUAGGCGGCUUGUUAAGUCAGGGGUGAAAUCCUGGAGCUCAACUCCAGAACUGCCUUUGAUACUGGCGAGCUUGAGUCCGGGAGAGGUGAGUGGAACUGCGAGUGUAGAGGUGAAAUUCGUAGAUAUUCGCAAGAACACCAGUGGCGAAGGCGGCUCACUGGCCCGGUACUGACGCUGAGGUGCGAAAGCGUGGGGAGCAAACAGGG
rnacentral:rRNA from 1 species